UACGAAGGGUGCAAGCGUUACUCGGAAUUACUGGGCGUAAAGCGUGCGUAGGUGGUUUGUUAAGUCUGAUGUGAAAGCCCGGGGCUCAACCCCGGGAGGCGGGCGGAAACUGUCGGGCUAGAGUCCGGAAGAGGCGAGUGGAAUUCCCGGUGUAGCGGUGAAAUGCGCAGAUAUCGGGAGGAACACCAAUGGCGAAGGCAGCUCGCUGGGACGUGACUGACGCUGAGACGCGAAAGCGUGGGGAGCAAAAGGG
rnacentral:rRNA from 1 species